GCCCCUCAGCCUUACUCCAGGGGCUUUUGCUGUAAAGUGCCUGGCAUUGCCUGGGGGUACAUGAAAGCGCACACGUCCCUCCCCAGGGAGACUCUGUUUUCUUGUGGGGCCUACGCGUUGAGCCAACAGU
ensembl:snoRNA SNORA49 small nucleolar RNA, H/ACA box 49